rnacentral:ncRNA from 1 species
CAGGAGAAACCGAAAAUCCUGAAAAGAGUAGGAA